rnacentral:rRNA from 1 species
AGAGUUUGAUCAUGGCUCAGAACGAACGCUGGCGGCAUGCCUAACACAUGCAAGUCGAACGCGUGUAGCAAUACACGAGUGGCGGACGGGUGAGUAACGCGUGGGAACCUGCCCAAUGGUAGGGAAUAACUGCGGGAAACUGCAGCUAAUACCCUAUGCUCCCUACGGGGGAAAGAUUUAUCGCCAUUGGAGGGGCCCGCGUCGGAUUAGCUAGUUGGCGGGGUAAUGGCCCACCAAGGCUACGAUCCGUAGCUGGUCUGAGAGGAUGAUCAGCCACACUGGGACUGAGAUACGGCCCAGACUCCUACGGGAGGCAGCAGUGGGGAAUAUUGGACAAUGGGGGAAACCCUGAUCCAGCAAUGCCGCGUGAGUGAAGAAGGCCUUAGGGUUGUAAAGCUCUUUCGGCGGGGACGAUGGUGACGGUACCCGCAGAAGAAGCCCCGGCUAACUUCGUGCCAGCAGCCGCGGUAAUACGAAGGGGGCUAGCGUUGUUCGGAAUCACUGGGCGUAAAGGGCGCGUAGGCGGCGCGACAAGUCAGGCGUGAAAGCCCCGGGCUCAACCCGGGAAUUGCGCUUGAUACUGUCGUGCUCGAGGCCGGGAGAGGAUGGCGGAAUUCCCAGUGUAGAGGUGAAAUUCGUAGAUAUUGGGAAGAACACCGGUGGCGAAGGCGGCCAUCUGGACCGGUUCUGACGCUGAGGCGCGAAAGCGUGGGGAGCAAACAGGAUUAGAUACCCUAGUAGUCC